UGCUCUGUUUCAGCUGUUAUGGUCAGUCUAGCUGUAUGGAGGAGAAGGUACUGCUCUGUUUCAGCUGUUAUGGUCAGUCUAGCUGUAUGGAGGAGGAGGUACUGCUCUGUUUCAGCUGUUAUGGUCAGUCUAGCUGUAUGGAGGAGAAGGUACUGCUCUGUUUCAGCUGUUAUGGUCAGUCUAGCUGUAUGGAGGAGAAGGUACUGCUCUGUUUCAGCUGUUAUGGUCAGUCUAGCUGUAUGGAGGAGAAGGUACUGCUCUGUUUCAGCUGUUAUGGUCAGUCUAGCUGUAUGGAGGAGGAGGUACUGCUCUGUUUCAGCUGUUAUGGUCAGUCUAGCUGUAUGGAGGAGAAGGUACUGCUCUGUUUCAGCUGUUAUGGUCAGUCUAGCUGUAUGGAGGAGAAGGUACUGUUCUGUUUCAGCUGUUAUGGUCAGUCUAGCUGUAUGGAGAAGGUACUGCUCUGUUUCAGCUGUUAUGGUCAGUCUAGCUGUAUGGAG
rnacentral:lncRNA from 1 species